rnacentral:tRNA from 2 species
GCGGAUAUGGCGGAAUUGGCAGACGCGCUGGUUUUAGGUACCAGUGGGUAACCGUGCAGGUUCAAGUCCUGUUAUCCGCA